UACGUAGGGACCAAGCGUUGUCCGGAAUCAUUGGGCGUAAAGAGCGUGUAGGCGGCCUUUUAAGUCCUGCGUGAAAUCCUGCGGCUCAACCGCAGACGGUCGUGGGAAACUGGAAGGCUAGAGUGCGGGAGAGGAGAGUGGAAUUCCCGGUGUAGCGGUGAAAUGCGCAGAUAUCGGGAAGAACACCCGUGGCGAAGGCGGCUCUCUGGAACGCAACUGACGCUGAGACGCGAAAGCGUGGGGAGCAAACAGG
rnacentral:rRNA from 1 species